rnacentral:tRNA from 2 species
CGGGGCGUAGCUUAGCCUGGUAGAGCGCCUGGUUUGGGACCAGGAGGCCGGGGGUUCGAAUCCCUCCGCCCCGACCA